UAAAAGCAGGGAAGGUAUCCCCUUCUGUCUUGGAUUUGAUGAUUAAUAAAGAUAAAGCUAAAUUAGUAGAUGAUGAUGAAUUGAAGACAAGACGAAGAGAUAUCGAUCACGAUAUUGUUAAAGAAAUUGAAAAUGCCAUUAAGAGAGGAGAAGUAACACCAGCAUUGGCAAACAAAAUCAGAAGAAAAGUUGAAAAGGCUCGAAAGACACAUGAUUCCAAACAAGAUGUUCAUGCUGGUGGUGGUGACAAGAAAUCUGAAAUCAUCAGAAAUCUCCGAGAAGGGUCGAUAAAAAGUACCAAGAAAAAAGAAGACAAAGCUAAGAUAGCGCCAAUGAAAUUAUGGAAAAAACUUGGGUGCAAGAUCUUCAAUCCUGUAUCAAAGUCAAGCUCCAAAAGUAGUAUGCACGAAGAAAAGAA